UCUCGAUAAAGUAAAAGUUAACUCAAAUUUGUAUGGAGUUGGAAAGUUUGCCCGCGUUUGCCGCUAUGGGCGCUGUUGCAACUGCAUACAAAUAUGAGUAAACUUUUAGGUUAUUGA
rnacentral:pre_miRNA from 9 species